UACGAAGGGGGGCUAGCGUUUGUUCGGAAUUACUGGGCGUAAAGCGUGCGCAGGCGGCUUCCCAAGUCAGUGGUGAAAGCCCGGAGCUCAACUCCGGAAAUGCCAUUGAAACUGUGAAGCUCGAGAACGAGAGAGGUGAGUGGAAUUCCCAGUGUAGAGGUGAAAAUUCGUAGAUAUUGGGAAGAACACCAGUGGCGAAGGCGGCUCACUGGCUCGUAACUGACGCUCAUGCACGACAGCGUGGGGAUCAAACAGA
rnacentral:rRNA from 1 species